GUGCUUGCAUAUCCAAAAACUUUCAGCUUUUUUGAGCCAGUUUUCCACUAUUUUAUAAAUUGUCCCUCAUAAUUAUAAAUCAUGGAAAAAUAAUCAAACUGAAUCACUUUAAUGAUGUUUCACAUAGUUUAAUUACAUCGAUUGUAAUAAAAUUGGGUUGUCUUCUUCAUGACCCACCUCUAUGAUCUGAAAUCCAACAGAAAAGCAGCCCGGGCCCCGCUGAUGGACAUGAAGGCAUGAUGCUGCAGGAGUGGAAAGAGUCACUUAUCUGGGUGUGCAGUUACCAGAAGAGUUGACAAAAGUCUGCACUGCCCAUACAGAGUCCUCCCACCUAAACCCAGAUACGCCUGCUUCUCUCACUCAGUCUCUCACUUGCUCUCUGUGUUCUUUCAUUAACGUGAGCAGAAGAGUCCGGCCAGGAACCAUGGGCAUCUGCAGCAAUUACAGCGGUUUAUCUCGGCUCGUCUUCAUUGGCAUUCUGGCCAUCUGCAUGGCUUUUGUGCAGUCAGAAACAGUUGCUGAUUCCUCCCCUACACUGCAGAAUGAUAAUCAGGACACACUAUCUGGUGCUGGAGGCUACGAUGUGACAACAAAAGUCCCUUUCCAUGACCCCACAGAAAACGCCUUCACCUUUGAUUAUGAGGAUGGUACACUCUCAAUAUCUCUGGAUGAGGAGGAAGUUGUGCUGGGGCCAGGUGCUAUCACAGCUAUCGUCAUCGCCGUGUUCCUCGGAGCCUCUGUUCUUCUCGCUCUCAUUGUUAUCACGCUCAGAAAGUUCACUGCCUCUUGAGAAGGGACAUUUAUGUUCUCAUUUCCUCCCUUUCUCAAUCCCAUCUCUUCUUUUUACUCUCCUCUGAACUGUAUUUUGAAGUGUCUCAUUGGUGGCAGGUCCUUCAUGAAAUGGAUGCUCUUUACUGAGGCCUGUUUUGUGAUUUCUUUCUGCUAUAAAACUCAAGACAGAGAAAACCAGGCUAAGGCUGAACAAAAGGUUAACUGCAAUCAAGAGAAAUUUUGGUUGCAUUUGUUCGGUGACCAUAUAAGCAUUGUUGAUAUCCUCUUGUAAUAAGGUUUAGAAUGAAAUAUUUAAAGAAGGUAGAAUCACAUUUUAAGAUAUAGUUUAUUACCAUCCAUGCGCAACUAGUUUUAUUUGGUUUCAAGCUGUAUUCUAAAGUAUACUAAGUUCCAAUGUUCUUGUCAUUCUAGCUGAUUUGUGUAAAAUGAUCAUGUCCUUUAGCGUUUAAGAUAAAGUGUGUGUGUGUGUGUGUGUGUGUGUGGUGGGGGUAAAUUUAUGGUGGUUGAGGGGGGUGCUGGUGGUAGA
rnacentral:lncRNA from 1 species